CCUACGGGAGGCAGCAGUGAGGAAUAUUGGUCAAUGGACGAGAGUCUGAACCAGCCAAGUAGCGUGAAGGAUGACUGCCCUAUGGGUUGUAAACUUCUUUUAUAUGGGAAUAAAACGUUCCACGUGUGGGAUUUUGUAUGUACCAUAUGAAUAAGGAUCGGCUAACUCCGUGCCAGCAGCCGCGGUAAUACGGAGGAUCCGAGCGUUAUCCGGAUUUAUUGGGUUUAAAGGGAGCGUAGGUGGAUUGUUAGGUCAGUUGUGAAAGUUUGCGGCUCAACCGUAAAAUUGCAGUUGAAACUGGCAGUCUUGAGUACAGUAGAGGUGGGCGGAAUUCGUGGUGUAGCGGUGAAAUGCUUAGAUAUCACGAAGAACUCCGAUUGCGAAGGCAGUUCACUGGACUGCAACUGACACUGAGGCUCGAAAGUGUGGGUAUCAAACAGGAUUAGAUACCCGAGUAGUC
rnacentral:rRNA from 1 species